AUCUAUGGCCAUAUCACUCUGAAUGUGCUUGAUUUUGUCUGAUCUUGGAAACUAAACAGGGUAGGGACUGUAUUUGGAUGGUGACAUAGGGGAAAUCAACUUCCAACUGAAA
rnacentral:rRNA from 1 species